rnacentral:rRNA from 1 species
ACGAAGGGGGCUAGCGUUGCUCGGAAUUACUGGGCGUAAAGGGCGCGUAGGCGGACAGUUUAGUCAGAGGUGAAAGCCCAGGGCUCAACCUUGGAAUAGCCUUUGAUACUGACUGUCUUGAGUACGGGAGAGGUGUGUGGAACUCCGAGUGUAGAGGUGAAAUUCGUAGAUAUUCGGAAGAACACCAGUGGCGAAGGCGACACACUGGCCCGUUACUGACGCUGAGGCGCGAAAGCGUGGGGAGCAAACAGG